rnacentral:rRNA from 1 species
AGAGUUUGAUCCUGGCUCAGGAUGAACGCUGGCGGCGUGCCUAAUACAUGCAAGUCGAGCGGCAGCGCAAGGGUGCUUGCACCCUGGCGGCGAGCGGCGGACGGCUGAGUAACGCGUAGGAACGUACCCCGAAGUGAGGGAUAAGCACCAGAAAUGGUGUCUAAUACCGCAUGUGCUCUAAGGAGUAAAGCCUCGGCGCU